UACGUAGGGAGCAAGCGUUGUCCGGAAUCAUUGGGCGUAAAGCGUGCGCAGGCGGUUUUGUAAGCCAGAUGUGAAAUCCCCGGGCUCAACCUGGGAACUGCAUUUGUGACUGCAUCGCUGGAGUGCGGCAGAGGGGGAUGGAAUUCCGCGUGUAGCAGUGAAAUGCGUAGAGAUGCGGAGGAACACCGAUGGCGAAGGCAGCCCCCUGGGCCGACAUUGACGCUCAGGCACGAAAGCGUGGGGAGCAAACAGGA
rnacentral:rRNA from 1 species